CGCCGAAGAAUGUGCACGCGUCUGUUUAGCAUUCAAUGCCGAUCGACGACGGUUUACUAUGUACGCACGCAUAACACUCGAUUGAAAAACGACAUUUAACGUUUUACCGCCCGGGGACGUUAAGCUGUAUAAAUGCUCGCCUAUUAACGCACUGACUUUGCGAUUUCGUCUUCUUUCAAUACUGCGAUUUUCUCGUCCGUUCGACAGUUUUCUCGGUUAAAGUAUCGAGAAACCUCGGUCCACUCGUUUUCACGGGUUUUCUUUUUUCUUUUUUUUUUUUUUUUUUUUUUUUUUUUUUUUACGCCAUUUGAAUUUCAUCUACUUCUUUUUCUUCGACUCCAAUACAUAUUCCGCGACAAUUUAAGCCGCUACUUACCGUCACCCGAGUCACCCGAGUCGUCCGUAUCUAUAGUUGACUAUAUUCGAUUUUAUUCGAUAC